UAACCUGCCUAUUAGAGGGGGGUAACUAUUGGAAACGAUAGCUAAUACCGCAUAACAGUAUGUAACACAUGUUAGAUGCUUGAAAGAUGCAAUUGCAUCGCUAGUAGAUGGACCUGCGUUGUAUUAGCUAGUAGGUAGGGUAAAGGCCUACCUAGGCAACGAUACAUAGCCGACCUGAGAGGGUGAUCGGCCACACUGGGACUGAGACACGGCCCAG
rnacentral:rRNA from 1 species